rnacentral:misc_RNA from 1 species
UUUCCGUAGGUGAACCUGCGGAAGGAUCAUUACUGCAUAAUCUAGGUCCGAGGGCUUUCUCUGACCCGAUAGGUCGUGCACGCCCGAGUGCCCUCACACACAUCCAUCGCACCCCUAUGUACACCACCUCGUGGGUCCCCCUUUGGCUUGUUCGGGGGGUGGCCUACGUUUUCACACAUUCUUCGUAUGCAGUGUGGAAUGUAUCAUUUGUGAUUGCGACCACGCAUUCAAAACACCUUUCAAUAACCGACCUCUUGGCUCCCUCAUCGCUGAAGAACU